rnacentral:lncRNA from 1 species
GUCUUUUUAGUGAAGAUGGACAAGUGAGCAUUUAUUAUUUAUUUUUUAAACUCUUGGUGGGGGCUGACAUAUUUAUGGAUUCCUGCAAUGACCUUGAGUAGAUUCAUAGUAACUGGGUUCAUAUUCAAAUAUUUAUAGAUAUUUAGUGAAAUUUUUGGAAUACAUUUACACUGUUUGGAUAAAAGAUACUGAGUUCACAUAAGCAUGUAGGUUGCAAGAUGG